AAGAGAGCCGCAGUUUGGAAACAAGGAGUGCAGCAGGGCUUUCCUCUGGAGUUGGUGAUCACUGGAGUGGUUUGAUUUUUGGGGUUUUGGUUGGCAAGGCAUUAGUGGUGAAAUUUUCCGGAGGUUGGCAAGGGGCACUGUUCCGUAUGUACUGUUAAUCCAUGCUGGAGGUAAUGAUCUGGGCAUGGUCCAAAAAAAGAAUUGGUCAGAUGGAUGAAGAGGGAUGUGGACCGGCUACGGGAGCUGGCUCCAGGUGUGGUGGUGGUGUGGUCUGAGAUGGUUCCUCGGUUUCACUG